ensembl:snRNA U6 U6 spliceosomal RNA
GUGUUCUCUUUGGCAGCACAUAUACUAAAAUUGGGAUGAUGCAGAGAAGGUUAGCAUGGCCACUGUGCAAGGAUGAUGUGCAAAUUCAUGAAGCUUUUUAUAUUUCU